rnacentral:misc_RNA from 1 species
GAACUGCGAUACGUAAUGUGAAUUGCAGAACUCCGUGAAUCAUCAAAUCUUUGAACGCAAGUUGCACUCCUGGGGUUAAACCUGGGAGUAUGCCUGUUUGAGUGUUAUCAACUAAUCUCAUCACCCCCUCUCUGCGGAGCGCGGACGAUGGAUAGUGAGAGUCUGAAGUCAAUGUCAGUCUCUUAAAAAGUAUUGACGGAUAAGCCUCAGGGAUGAUGUCUCAGCUGACACUCUCCUUUGACGUGGUAGUUUACUUUACUGUGAAUACUUCGUUUCAAACGGUGGAGCACCAAGGCCGGCAUUACACCAAAGUCCCUCGAGUUAUCCAGUCCUACUCAGAAACCAAAAACUCCGUGUUUUUCUUAGCAUAACCUCAAAUCAGGUAAGACUACCCGCUGAA